ACCCAGCCGUUAGCAGGAAGGCGGCACAACAACGUCAGCGGCGCACCUACAGAGUGAGAAGAGAUAUUUUCGCUGAGUACGACGAUGCUGAGUUACUGAAAAGAUUCAGAUUGGACCGUGCUGGUAUUGUUGCAGUGACUGAUAUAGUGAGAGACAAGCUGCAAAGUAAAACUGAAAGAAAUAGAGCCUUGACCCCUGAGAUGGUGGCCAUCACAUUACGAUAUUUAGCCACAGGAAAAAUGCAACAGUGCAGUUGUGAUGAUUUUGGAACAACGCAGCCCACUAUCAGCCGUGCAAUAUCACAGACAAUUGAUGCACUGGCUGACCCAGAAAGUAAUCUGCCAGUUCGUGGCUUUCCCUCACACCCAGCGUGAAGUGCAGCAAAAACAGGCAGAGUUCAUGCAAGUAACUCAGUUUCCCGGUGUUGUGGGAGUGAUUGAUGGUACUCAUAUAAGAAUUGUGUCUCCUCAUGUCGAUGAACAUGUAUAUGUGAACAGGAAACGCUAUCACAGCAUAAAUGUGCAAGUAGUAUUUGAUGCUCACUAUAAGAUUCUUGACAUUGUGGCAAGGUGGCCUGGCUCAGUCAACGAUGCAAGAAUACUAGAUAAGUCAGCACUCAAACUGAUGUUUGAGGAACAACAUGUACCUGCAGGAUGCUACCUUCCCGGGGACAGUGGCUAUCCCUGUAAGCAGUGGCUCCUCACUCCUUACCUUCACCCUCAAACUGUUGCACAAGCUAAUUAUAACAGUUCCAGUACCUUACGAUGCAGCCGAGGGGACUGACGCCACCACCACCACUGCCACCACCGCCACAACAAGGGUUAUUCAAAUGGGGAACAUGCUUCAGGUGUUGCCCCAAGAUGCCUCAGCCCCGCAGCCCCACUUCCCCAUGAUAGUGCAGGCAGGGAAUGUCAUACAGGUUGUUCCAGCUGACAACACGCAGGUAUUAGGGGCAGAAGUCGUUGGAGUUGGUCGGGUCAUGCAAGUGGUCGGAGUCCCAGGCUUUCCCCCCGACCCCAGCCCCAGACCCCUGCCCCAGCCACCCCUCUCCCUGUGACCCCUGCCCAGUCAUCCCUCACCCCCUCCUGCCCCCCUGCGGUGCUGCCAGCGGGGGUGAUGGGAGGUGGAGGUGGGCCACACACACCUGGGUUAGCUGUGGCUUGGCUUAUCU